rnacentral:rRNA from 1 species
GACCUCAAAUCAGGUAGGAUUACCCGCUGAACUUAAGCAUAUCAAUAAGCGGAGGAAAAGAAACCAACAGGGAUUGCCUUAGUAACGGCGAGUGAAGCGGCAAGAGCUCAAAUUUGAAAUCUAGCACUUUCAGUGUUCGAGUUGUAAUUUGAAGAAGGUAUCUUUGGAGUUGGCCCCUGUCUAUGUUCCUUGGAACAGGACGUCACAGAGGGUGAGAAUCCCGUGCGAUGGGGAGACCAAUUCUAUGUAAAGUUCCUUCGAAGAGUCGAGUUGUUUGGGAAUGCAGCUCUAAGUGGGUGGUAAAUUCCAUCUAAAGCUAAAUAUUGGCGAGAGACCGAUAGCGAACAAGUACAGUGAUGGAAAGAUGAAAAGAACUUUGAAAAGAGAGUGAAAAAGUACGUGAAAUUGUUGAAAGGGANGGGCUUUUGAUCAGACUUGGUGUUUAGUACUCUUCGCUCCUUGUGGGCGGGGCUCUUGCUUUAUACUGGGCCAGCAUCGGUUUGGAUGGCAGGAUAAUGGCAUUGGAANCGUGGCUCCAUUCGUGGAGGUGUUAUAGCCUUUGUUGAUACUGCCUAUCUAGACCCGAGGACUGCGUC